rnacentral:rRNA from 1 species
UAGGGAAUCUUCGGCAAUGGACGAAAGUCUGACCGAGCAACGCCGCGUGAGUGAAGAAGGUUUUCGGAGCGUAAAACUCUGUUGUUAGAGAAGAACAAGGACGUUAGUAACUGAACGUCCCCUGACGGUAUCUAACCAGAAACCCACGGCUAACUACGUGCCAGCAGCCGCGGUAAUACGUAGGUGGCAAGCGUUGUCCGGAUUUAUUGGGCGUAAAGCGAGCGCAGGCGGUUUCUUAAGUCGGAUGUGAAAGCCCCCGGCUCAACCGGGGAGGGUCAUUGGAAACUGGGAGGCUUGAGUGCAGGAGAGGAGAGUGGAAUUCCAUGUGUAGCGGUAAAAUGCGUAGAUAUAUGGAGGAACAGCAGUGGCGAAGGCGGCUCUCUGGUCUGUAACUGACGCUGAGGCUAGAAGGCGUGGGGAGCAAACAGG